GUCCAGAACGUCAACGUCAACGUAAUUUCAAGCUCGAGGUGCUGCGACAGUCGGCGAUGCAUUUCGAUGUUCAGCAUAGACUUGAGUGGCACUCAAGCCGCGAGUAGAACGUACAUAUUCGCCGCGGCUUGUCCGUUCUUUCAAGAAUGUGCAACGCCGAACGGAGAGCAGCAUUCCCGCAGGUUCGCCGUUGCAGUCCUCGCGCGACAUUGCUCGCGUGACAACGGCUAGAGAGAAUCGUGAUUCUGUUCCCUGGCAAAAUUCUUAUGAAGUUUCAAAAUGACUAACAUUGCAAACAUCAUCUAUAAAAUUAAAACGACAUCAAGGUGGAUGAAAAGUCAAGCUUUGAUAAAAAUCGGCGUUUAAAUGGAUGAUGGGAAACUCUAGAUGGAUGAUUGGAAAACCGACAUUUGUUCAAUAUCGCGCGAGCAAAUCGCGGUACGUUAAACGUGGGUGUCCCAGAAGAACGGAGGGAACGACGUGAAAGACGACGACCCGACAUUGUGCGCCUCCGCUAUUACAUCCAAGGUUACCCCGACGAGUCGUAAACUCUCCUCUCGUACCUCGACGUUCUCUCGCGUGUGCAUCAGCUCCCUGUUCCGCUUAUCCGCGACGUGGGACUAUAUUUCAAACGCGUCUCGAUAAUGUACAAAUUGACUCGGCGUCGACACUUGGUCAUUAACGCUAUCCAGUAAAAUAUAAACAACAGUACCCCUAUUUUGUAACUCUUAAUGAUAGCGUCGAUGUCGUUAUGUUGUCAUUGCGCAAGUAGAAAAGCUGUACAAUAUAAUGAUACCAGCACGUAAGAAUUAUACACGGAAAAAAACAAUCAUGAUUGAAUUAA